GACGAACGCUGGCGGCGUGCCUAACACAUGCAAGUCGCACGGACCCGCAAGGGUCAGUGGCGAACGGGUGCGUAACACGUGAGGAACAUACCUAUCGGCGGGGGAUAGCCGGCCCAACGGCCGGGUAAUACCGCGUACGCUCUUCGAGGGGCAUCCCUUGGAGAGGAAAGCAGCAAUGCACCGAUAGAGUGCCUCGCGGCCUAUCAGCUAGUUGGUGAGGUAAUGGCUCACCAAGGCGACGACGGGUAGCUGGUCUGAGAGGAUGAUCAGCCACAUUGGGACUGAGACACGGCCCAGACUCCUAUGGGAGGCAGCAGUGGGGAAUCUUGCGCAAUGGGCGAAAGCCUGACGCAGCGACGCCGCGUGUGGGAUGAAGGUCUUCGGAUCGUAAACCACUGUCGCGAGGGACGAAUAAAUUGACGGUACCUCGAAAGGAAGCACCGGCUAACUCUGUGCCAGCAGCCGCGGUAAUACAGAGGGUGCGAGCGUUGUCCGGAUUUAUUGGGUUUAAAGGGUCCGUAGGCGGUUUAAUAAGUCAGUGGUGAAAGCCUAUCGCUUAACGAUAGAACGGCCAUUGAUACUGUUAGACUUGAAUUAGUGGGAAGUAACUAGAAUAUGUAGUGUAGCGGUGAAAUGCUUAGAUAUUACAUGGAAUACCAAUUGCGAAGGCAGGUUACUAUCACUAUAUUGACGCUGAUGGACGAAAGCGUGGGGAGCGAACAGGAUUAGAUACCCUGGUAGUCCACGCCGUAAACGAUGGAUACU
rnacentral:rRNA from 1 species